rnacentral:lncRNA from 1 species
UCCAGCCUAAGUUGUCCACUUGGGUUCCCGGUCUUUCAAAAGCCACUCUUAGUCAACUAGCGUAGAGCGAAACUAAAUCCCAAAUUUAGAGCAUUUUGAACUAAGUUGACCCAGCACCCAAGGCGUGUGGGCCCAUUAGAAGACUACUUUGUGUCUAAUUGACCCACGGUCAAUAUAAGACGAUCAUCCAACUAUUUGUUAAAUUUGAAGGAUAUGUAUGUCAAUUUGUGCGUACCAUUGUCCCUUGGGGUUGGAUUUUUAUUUUAUAGGUAGUUUCUUUGUUUUAGUCAAAGAGAGAUCCGUCUCAUCCAGAAAAAAUUCAAAAGUACCAAGAAGUUCGGGAAUGAAGAUUACAUAUGGAAGCUUAGUUUAGUUUACCAUUGUACCCCUGCGUGGGACUGAUAUUUAUUUCCCUAUCCUCUAAUAUGUAUCCCCAUUUAUUUUAUUCAUAAGGUUUGUAUAAACGAUUUUUAGGGCA